rnacentral:rRNA from 1 species
AUACGGAGGGUCCGAGCGUUAUCCGGAAUCAUUGGGUUUAAAGGGUCCGUAGGCGGGAAUCUAAGUCAGUGGUGAAAUCUUGCAGCUCAACUGUAAAAUUGCCAUUGAUACUGGAUUUCUUGAAUUAGCGUGAAGUGGUUAGAAUGUGUAGUGUAGCGGUGAAAUGCAUAGAUAUUACACAGAAUACCAGCGAAGGCAGAUCACUAACACUAUAUUGACGCUAAGGGACGAAAGCGUGGGGAGCGAACAGGAUUAGAAACCCGGGUAGUCC